GUAUAAGCAAUUAUACAGCGAAACUGCGAAUGGCUCAUUAUAUAAGUUAUCGUUUAUUUGAUAGUACCUUACUACUUGGAUAACCGUGGUAAUUCUAGAGCUAAUACAUGCUAAAAAUCCCGACUUCGGAAGGGAUGUAUUUAUUAGAUUAAAAACCAAUGCCCUCUGGGCUCUCUGGUGAUUCAUGAUAACUUCUCGAAUCGCAUGGCCUUGCGCCGGCGAUGGUUCAUUCAAAUUUCUUCCCUAUCAACUUUCGAUGUUUGGGUAUUGGCCAAACAUGGUCGCAACGGGUAACGGAGGGUUAGGGCUCGACCCCGGAGAAGGAGCCUGAGAAACGGCUACUACAUCCAAGGAAGGCAGCAGGCGCGCAAAUUACCCAAUCCCGACACGGGGAGGUAGUGACAAUAAAUACUGAUACAGGGCUCUUUCGGGUCUUGUAAUUGGAAUGAGUACAAUUUAAAUCCCUUAACGAGGAACAAUUGGAGGGCAAGUCUGGCCCAA
rnacentral:rRNA from 1 species